ACUUCAUUAUACAUUCAUGCUCACAUGUCUAUUAUAUAGUCCUCACCUGAGACCAAUACCUCACUGUGCCGGAAAUUGCCUUUGGUGGUGGCGGAGGUCCAAAUGCCUCCAUACAUAUAUCUAUUUGUUUAUCUUGACACCCUCUCUCACAAUCUAACAACGAUUUCCUCUAAUUCCUACACAAGGUUCUGAAUCGAGCCAACAAAUCUAUAAACCUAAGAGACAAAAUCCAAAAUUAAAUGAUGCUGAGGAGUUGAACGGAGCUCAACACCUAGGGGUUUGACUCCCUUAUGAAGAGGCUACAUGGAAGCAACGAGUUUAAGAAAGAAAAUAAAUUGCAAAGGAUUAAUUAACCUACAAGAGUGACUUGGUGAUGUUGCAAGCGAAGGUGACGCAAAUGAUUCAAGAAAAUAUAGAAGAUCUUCAAUCCAGUGUAUGUCUAUUGCCAAAAUAUUGAGCUUAUAAUGUCAUGGUCUUGUGUUCCCUUUGCAAGUUUUCUAUAAGUUUGGGCAUGUCACUUUCAAAAUGUACAAAGCAUGGAAACUAAGAUAUGGAUCAUGGUUGGAGACUUGGAAGCUUGAAAGUUCAAUCAUGGAAGAUCCAAAUGGAAUUUUAGAAUAGGAUCAGAUCAAUUGACUUUGGUCAACUGUUUGACCAAAAUGUCAAUAGUUGACCAAAAAUCAAUUGUAGGUCAAAGAUGCAAUCUUGUAUGUAAUCUUGUAGUUAGAUUUUUGUAAUAUGGUUUGAAUGUUUUUGUAAUGAGAAAAUGACUUCUUUUUGAAAUGAACUGCUUGUGUUCUAAGAAA